GUUCAUUUGUUCAACAAACAGGCAACACCUAAGGGCCAGGUCCUAGUCUAGGUGCCAUGGAUAGAGUGGUAAAGAAGACAGACAAACUUCCAGCUUCAUGAAGCUUACUAAAUUCCAGUGGUGAAAAGAGACAAUAAAUAAGGACAGUAGUGACUAGUGCUAUAAAGAAGAAUAAAGAAUAACACAGGGUGCUCCCCGUAAGUUGAACCUAGUCCAAGGCAGAAGGAAAAGGAGCCUUCGAUGUUGUCCAUAAAGGUCAGACUCUCAGGUCACAGAGCAAGGGAGAGAAGAAUGGAGAUUGGCUCUGGAGAGGCAAACAGAAGAGAUUCAGCAGGGGCCACCCCCUUCCCCUUCAGCAUCAACUCUAGCUCUCCGUGCAAGUGAAAGUUGAUCUCCCUGUUACAGAACACAUCGAAGUCCUUCAGCUUCCGUAUUAUCAUGGGAAAAUGUUUGUUCAGUCAUAGUCCCACCUGGAACCCAAAAUCUUAGCCAACACUAGUGUUCUUCAUAUCAGGUGGCUAAGAUGAGGGGAGAAGGAUGUGGAAAAAUAAUCAAUUAAUAUCAAACCUAGCUAUUACCAUCCCUGCUUCUUGACUGGUCAUGAGGUCUAAGCAAGUGGUAAUCAUAUCUGUUUUCUUCCACAUUCACUUCAUGUUUCUCUUACCCUCUGAUACCACCUCAGCUUCAUGGGGUUCUUUACCUGGUAGGGUGACUCAAACCUUCAUUCCUGUGGGAUUUGAGUCCUUACUGGUCCUGUUUUAUUCCAUUGCUACAGUUUCCCGUUGACUAGGACAAUUGGCCGAGUGAGUACUAGGAGGCACCUAGUGAUUCCUCUGGGCUCCAAAUAUAGUUCUGUCCCAUCCUUGUGUAGCAGCAACCCAGUUUCUCCCUGGUAAUCAGGAUCAAUGACCCUGGUCAGCACAGUAGCCCCAUUCUCCACAUUGCUCCCUUGGCCACUAGGAUCUUUAAAUCCAAAGAGGCCAAGGUCAUAGGGACAAAAAGCAAAAUUCUUCAAGUGUAAUAGUGAGAGGUGCCACUCCCAGCUCCAACCCUUGGUUCCCAGGCCCAUGCAUUCUGGCUAAGGAAAAGAAGACAUGAUAUAUUGGUCACUGGUUAAAAGUAUACCUCAAUUUACAGAUCAGCAGCCCAACCUCACAGGGUGAUGUCUCCCAGCUGCUUUCAGGCCUAAGCCUUCACCAGGCCACUCCACUGUUCUAUUAAACCACUACUUCUGUGUAACGG
rnacentral:lncRNA from 1 species